UUUAAUCUUAUUCAUUAGACCAUUGUUGGACAGUUUUUAAGAAUAUAUAAAACGAUUUGCUAUAAUAAUGGAUAAUGAAGCGGUAAUGAUAAAUCUAUUACCAUCUGAAAAUCAAUGUCUUUAUAGUGAAUGUUAAUUUAUUCAAGUAUGUUGUAAAGAUCACAUAUUAAAUUUGAUUGCUAAUGAAUAUCUUGAUAAUCAAAUAUAUGAAAGUUGAUCAAAUCUCUCCAUCCUUCCGCUAUAUCACCAGUUGAGAGAGUGACACAUGUCACUAGGGGUGUCAAAAUGGGUAACCCAACUCAACUCAACUCAUAAUCAAAUGAGUUUAGGGUUAAAUGAGUUAUGGGUUGACCCAACUCAUUUUGUUAAAUGGGUUGGGUCAACCCAUAACUCAUUUAAUUUGAUGGGUUGAGUUGUUAAAUGAGUUAACCUAUUUAAAUAAUAAUUUAAUU
rnacentral:sRNA from 1 species